CUAGAGUUGUCCGUACUGUUUUACCAGCGGACUUUUCGAGGAACCCAAAAAACAAAACUCUGUUUACACUCCUCUUGUUAAAGCCGUCUCCCACCAACCCCGAACGUCGCUCUCCAUUAUUUAGCAGUAGCCGUCUCUACCAAUUCUCAACCAAAAAAAAGCACUAUUUUCACAGAGCAAAAAGAAGAGGCGACUCUCAAAAAAUGGCAGCAAGUUCCAGUCUGUUGAAGCUAAACGCCUCUUCAUCUUCAUUGAUCGGUCAACAAUCGUUUAAUCAACGAUCAGGAUCUUCCUGCCGUUUGCCGUCUUCUACUCGCCGUGUUAAUGUUAUCCGCGCCGGAUCUUACACCGAUGAGCUCCUCAAAACCGCCAAAACUAUUGCAUCUCCUGGAAGGGGCAUCCUUGCCAUUGAUGAAUCAAACGCAACUUGCGGAAAGAGACUGGCGUCAAUUGGUCUGGACAAUACAGAAGCAAACAGACAAGCUUACCGUCAACUCUUGUUGACCACUCCCGGACUAGGUGAUUACAUCUCUGGUGCCAUUCUAUUUGAGGAGACACUUUAUCAGUCAACUACCGAUGGGAAGAAGAUGGUUGACUGCUUGCGCGAUCAGAAUAUUGUACCUGGGAUCAAAGUUGACAAGGGUUUGGUACCCCUACCAGGAUCCAAUGAUGAAUCUUGGUGCCAAGGGUUGGAUGGAUUGGCUUCUAGGUCUGCUGAAUACUACAAGCAAGGGGCCCGUUUUGCUAAGUGGAGAACAGUUGUUAGCAUUCCUUGCGGUCCUUCUGCUUUGGCGGUAAAAGAAGCUGCCUGGGGUCUUGCUCGAUAUGCUGCUAUCUCUCAGGACAAUGGUCUAGUGCCAAUUNAAAAAAUCGCAUCCCAUAAUGCCUGGAAAUGUCGGUUGGUAUCUUCAACUUGGGGUUAUCUGGAUUUAGUGUUGCCACCAUCAUUGUUAAGGUUUCAAAUAGCUUACCUGUAGAAUAUUUAAUGUUGAUACCUAUUACCGGGAAAGGGAUCCUAAAUUAUGACAUGAUUGAAUUCUCAGCCCUUUGAAAAAAAUAUAGCAGGCAUUAUUCUGCUGCUCCUUAUUGGUUUUUUUUAUUCCAUUUCUUGGUCAACUAUGCUAAAAAUCGGUGUGCUUCUCACCUUUCAGUUCCUCUCGGGGGGACAAUCCGAAGUGGAAGCGACACUCAACCUCAACGCCAUGAACCAGAGCCCCAACCCAUGGCAUGUGUCGUUCUCAUAUGCACGUGCACUCCAGAACACAGUGCUUAAGACAUGGCAAGGUCGUCCUGAGAAUGUAGAUGCUGCACAAAAGGCACUCUUGAUUCGUGCAAAAGCAAACUCCUUGGCUCAGCUUGGAAAAUACUCUGCAGCAGGUGAAAGCGAGGAAGCUAAGAAAGGAAUGUUUGUUAAGGGCUACACCUACUAAGCACUCCGCUUUGCUGCAACUUUAUGUACUUUCCAGUUUUUUAUCGUUUGCUAGAUUUGAAUGCUGAAGAGGUUUUUAGUGGACUAAUUGCUCUUUCUUCUUUUUUGAUCUCAAGUUAGUUUACUUGAUUAAUAAGCUGCAAGGGGUGAUUCGUCGAAACACAAUCCCAGAAGUUCUCGGGUUUAUACUUUAUAUAUGAGGGACAUGUAUGUCUACAAGAAUGUUUAGAAUACCUUGUUAUUAUUAUCCCUAUAUUGAGGACUCUUUAAACUAUGCAAUCUUUUUCCAAGCGCUCA